rnacentral:rRNA from 1 species
CCUGGUUGAUCCUGCCAGUAAUCAUAUGCUUGUCUCAAAGAUUAAGCCAUGCAUGUCUAAGUACAUGCCGAAAUAAGGCGAAACCGCGAAUGGCUCAUUAAAUCAGUUAUGGUUCCUUAGAUCGUUUCUUCCUACUUGGUUGGAUAACUGUGGCAAUUCUAGAGCUAAUACAUGCAGUGAGCCUGGAGCCCUUUGGGUAACGGGUGCUUUUAUUAGACCAAGAUCGAUCGGGUUUCGGCCCGUAUUGUGUGGUGACUCUGGAUAACUUUGUGCUGAUCGCAUGGCCACGAGCCGGCGACGUUUCUUUCAAGUGUCUGCCUUAUCAACUUUCGAUGGUAGGUUACUUGCUUACCAUGGUUGUUACGGGUAACGGAGAAUCAGGGUUCGAUUCCGGAGAGGGAGCCUGAGAAACGGCUACCACAUCCAAGGAAGGCAGCAGGCGCGCAAAUUACCCACUCCCGGCACGGGGAGGUAGUGCGAAAAGUAGACAAUACGGACUCUUUGAGGCCCUAAUUUGAAAUGAUCAACUCUAAUCCUUUAACGCAGGAUCAAUUGGAGGGCAAGUCUGGGGCCAGCAGCGCGGUAAUUCCGCUCCAACAUAGCGUGAUACUAGCCCUGCCUCGACGUUAAAAAGCCUCGUAGUUGGAAUUCCAUCCAGACGAGCUAGUGCAUCUACCGGAUGGAACGGCUCGCGGACUGAACAUCAUGCCGGUUCUUUCUUGGUGCACUUCAUUGUGUGCCUCGAGAUGGCCGGUGCUUUUACUUUGAAAAAAUUAGAGUGCUCAACGCAGGCGAGUCGCCUGAAUAAACUUGCAUGGAAUAAUAGAACAAGACCUCGUUUCUGUUCUGUUGGUUUUUGGAAUACGAGGAAUAAUUGUUAAGCAGGGCACGGACGGGGCAUUCGUAUUGCGGCGCUAGAGGUGAAAUUCUUGGACCGUCGCAAGACGAACUACUGCGAAAGCAUUUGCCAAGAAUGUUUUCAUUGAUCAAGAACGAAAGUCAGAGGUUCGAAGGCGAUCAGAUACCGCCCUAGUUCUGACCAGAAACGAUGCCAACCAGCGAUCCGCCUGAGUUACUCAAAUGACUCGGCGGGCAGCUUCCGGGAAACCAAAGUAUUUGGGUUCCGGGGGAAGUAUGGUUGCAAAGCUGAAACUUAAAGGAAUUGACGGAAGGGCACCACCAGGAGUGGAGCCUGCGGCUUAAUUUGACUCAACACGCGGAUGAAAACUUACCCGGCCCGGACACUGGCGAGGUUGCACAGAUUGAGAGCUCUUUCUUGAUUCGGUGGAUGGUGGUGCAUGGCCGUUCUUAGUUGGUGGAGCGAUUUGUCUGGUUAAUUCCGAUAACGAACGAGACUCUAGCCUAUUAAAUAGGUGCGGGGUUCCCAGCACCUUACAACCUUCUUAGAGGGACAAGCGGCUCCUAGCCGCACGAAACAGAGCAAUAACAGGUCUGUGAUGCCCUUAGAUGUCCGGGGCCGCACGCGCGCUACACUGAAGGAAGCAGCGUGUCUUUAUCCCUGUCUGAAAAGACUGGGUAACCCGUGGAACUUCUUUCGUGAUUGGGAUAGGGGCUUGCAAUUGUUCCCCUUGAACGAGGAAUUCCCAGUAAGCGCGAGUCAUAAGCUCGCGUUGAUUACGUCCCUGCCCUUUGUACACACCGCCCGUCGCUACUACCGAUUGAAUGAUUUAGUGAGGUCUUCGGACCGAUGUCCGGCGCGGCCUUUCGGUUGCGCCGGUCUGUUGGAAAGAUGACCAAACUUGAUCAUUUAGAGGAAGUAAAAGUCGUAACAAGGUUUCCGUAGGUGAACCUGCGGAAG